UACGUAGGGUGCAAGCGUUGUCCGGAAUUAUUGGGCGUAAAGAGCUCGUAGGCGGUUUGUCGCGUCUGCUGUGAAAACUGGAGGCCCAACCUCCAGCCUGCAGUGGGUACGGGCAGACUAGAGUGCGGUAGGGGAGAUUGGAAUUCCUGGUGUAGCGGUGGAAUGCGCAGAUAUCAGGAGGAACACCGAUGGCGAAGGCAGAUCUCUGGGCCGUAACUGACGCUGAGGAGCGAAAGCGUGGGGAGCGAACAGG
rnacentral:rRNA from 1 species